rnacentral:rRNA from 1 species
AUUGAACGCUGGCGGCAGGCUUAACACAUGCAAGUCGAACGAGCGGCGGACGGGUGAGUAAUUCAUGGGAAUCUAGCUUAGGUAGGGGGAUAACUACGGGAAAAUGUAGCUAAUACCGCGUACCAGCGGAUGAGCCCAGAUGGGCUUAGGUAGUUGGUGAGGUAAAGGCUCACCAAGCCGACGAUGUCUAGCUGGUCUGAGAGGAUGACCAGCCACACGGGGACUGAGACACGGCCCAGACUCCUACGGGAGGCAGCAGUGGGGAAUAUUGCGCAAUGGGGGCAACCUGACGCAGCAAUGCCGCGUGAAUGAAGAAGGCCUUCGGGUUGUAAAGUUCUUUCGGUAGCGAGGCGUUAACUACAGAAGAAGCACCGGCUAACUACGUGCCAGCAGCCGCGGUAAUUC